CGGGCUGUAGCGCAGUCUGGUAGCGCACCUGCAUGGGGUGCAGGGGGUCGUGGGUUCGAAUCCCGCUAGCCCGACCA
rnacentral:tRNA from 1 species